CUGGGACGACACUUUACGCACAUGCAUUAUGUCCAGUUUUCUCAGAACAAGACACUAAUAAUGAUCUGAUAUUACUUGGCAUCAAAAUAAAUCACCCAGGUGAAUCAUGAGAUGAAACAUAACACUUAAUCUGAGUUUGGUGUUGGCAAGCUUCAUGUGAAAAGUACAUGUUUCUAAAAUAUUUGUACUGAA